rnacentral:lncRNA from 1 species
GCCAGAUUCCCUCCGUCGCCGCCAAGAUGAUGUGCGGGGCGCCCUCCGCCACGCAGCCGGCCACCGCCGAGACCCAGCACAUCGCCGACCAGGUGAGGUCCCAGCUUGAAGAGAAAGAAAACAAGAAGUUCCCUGUGUUUAAGGCCGUGUCAUUCAAGAGCCAGGUGCACGUCGGCGACGAGGACUUCGUACACCUGCGAGUGUUCCAAUCUCUCCCUCAUGAAAACAAGCCCUUGACCUUAUCUAACUACCAGACCAACAAAGCCAAGCAUGAUGAGCUGACCUAUUUCUGAUCCUGACUUUGGACAAGGCCCUUCAGCCAGAAGACUGACAAAGUCAUCCUCCGUCUACCAGAGCGUGCACUUGUGAUCCUAAAAUAAGCUUCAUCUCCGGGCUGUGCCCCUUGGGGUGGAAGGGGCAGGAUUCUGCAGCUGCUUUUGCAUUUCUCUUCCUAAAUUUCAUUGUGUUGAUUUCUUUCCUUCCCAAUAGGUGAUCUUAAUUACUUUCAGAAUAUUUUCAAAAUAGAUAUAUUUUUAAAAUCC